UAUUGCGCAAUGGGGGCAACCCUGACGCAGCCAUGCCGCGUGAAUGAAGAAGGCCUUCGGGUUGUAAAGUUCUUUCGGUGAUGAGGAAGGAGGAUGUUUAAAUAGGGCAUUCAAUUGACGUUAAUCACAGAAGAAGCACCGGCUAACUCCGUGCCAGCAGCCGCGGUAAUACGGAGGGUGCGAGCGUUAAUCGGAAUAACUGGGCGUAAAGGGCACGCAGGCGGAUAAUUAAGUGAGAUGUGAAAUCCCCGAGCUUAACUUGGGAAUUGCAUUUCAUACUGGUUAUCUAGAGUCUUGUAGAGAGGGGUAGAAUUCCACGUGUAGCGGUGAAAUGCGUAGAGAUGUGGAGGAAUACCGGAGGGGAAGGCGGCCCCUGGACAAAGACUGACGCUCAUUCGAAGC
rnacentral:rRNA from 1 species